rnacentral:rRNA from 1 species
UACGGGGGGGGCAAGCGUUGUUCGGAAUUACUGGGCGUAAAGCGCGUGUAGGCGGUCUGGCAAGUCAGAUGUGAAAGCCCCGGGCUCAACUUGGGAACUGCAUUUGAUACUGCCAAGCUGGAGUACGGUAGGGGCAGAGGGAAUUUCCGGUGGAGCGGUGAAAUGCGUAGAGAUCGGAAAGAACACCAACGGCGAAAGCACUCUGCUGGGCCGACACUGACACUGAGAGACGAAAGCUAGGGGAGCGAAUGGG